AAACUUCCCUCCUCUCUCCAAUGGCUGCCAGAACAACCACCGCCGCCGCCUUCUACUUUCUCAUCCUCAUUUCCCUUUACAUUUCCACUUCCGCCGCCCCCACCGGUUCAGUAUGCAGCUCGACUCGAGACCCAUCCUACUGCAAAUCGGUUCUCCCGAAUCAAACCGGCAAUGUCUACUCGUACGGACGGUCGUCGUUCAGAAAGUCACUGUCGUCGUCGCAGAAAUUCCUCCGGCUGGUGGAGAAAUACCUCAGGUCCCGAUCGUCGCUGACAGUGCCGGCGGUGAGGGCGCUGGAGGACUGCCAGCUGCUGGCGGGACUGAACAUUGAUUACUUAACGACGUCGUUCCGGGCGGUGAACUCGACGAGCAGAACGUUGCCGGAGAUGAAGGCGGACGACGUGCAGAGUCUGCUGAGUGCGAUAUUGACGAAUCAACAGACUUGUUUGGAUGGAAUUAAGGCGACGGCGGGUUCUUGGUCGCUCAAAAAUGGCCUUUCUCUCCCACUUGCUGCUGACACCAAGCUCUACUCUCUGUCCUUGGCCUUCUUUACCAAAGGUUGGGUUCCAAAGAAGAAGAAAAAACCGACAUGGAAAGCCGCCGGAAGACAAGGGGGGUUCAGAAAUGGGCGAAUGUCACUCAAAAUGUCCAGCCGAACCAAAGCGAUCUACGAGACGGCGACCCGCCGGAAUCUGUUGCAGAUCGAUGACGGCGGCGACGACCAGAUUGCGGUCAGGGACAUCGUCGUUGUCAGUCAAGACGGCAGCGGAAAUUUCACCACCAUCAAUGAGGCGAUUGCGGCGGCGCCGAACAACUCUGCUCCGUCCGACGGGUAUUUCUUAAUCUUCGUGUCGGCCGGAAUUUAUGAAGAAUAUGUGUCGAUUGCGAAGAACAAGAGGUACUUGAUGAUGAUCGGAGAUGGCAUUAAUCAGACCGUCGUCACCGGUAAUCGGAGUGUCGUUGACGGCUGGACCACCUUCAAUUCCGCCACGUUUGCGGUGGUCGGACCUGGAUUCGUAGCAGUAAACAUGACAUUCAGAAACACCGCCGGCGCCAUAAAGCAUCAAGCCGUAGCCGUCCGGAAUGGCGCCGACUUAUCAACAUUCUACCUCUGCAGCUUCGAAGCCUACCAAGACACCUUAUACACCCAUUCCCUCCGCCAAUUCUACCGCGACUGCGACAUCUACGGCACCGUCGACUUCAUCUUCGGCAACGCCGCCGUCGUCUUCCAGAACUGCAACAUUUACCCACGCCUCCCGAUGUCCAACCAGUUCAACGCCAUCACCGCCCAGGGUCGGACCGACCCAAAUCAGAACACCGGCACCUCCAUCUACAACUGCCGAAUCACGGCAGCCGACGAUCUGGCCAACAACAGCGGCGCCGGCGUCAAGACGUUCCUAGGGCGGCCGUGGAAGGAAUACUCAAGGACGGUUUAUAUGCAGAGCUUUAUGGAUGAUUUGAUUGAUCCGGAGGGAUGGAGGGCUUGGAAUGGGGAUUUUGCUUUGAACACUUCGUAUUAUGCUGAAUUUGGGAAUUUUGGGCCGGGAUCUAACACAUCGGAGAGGGUUAAUUGGCCGGGAUUUCAUUUGAUUAAUGAUACCGAUGCUGGCAAUUUCACGGCGGGGAAUUUUGUGUUGGCCGACGAUUGGCUGCCGCAGACCGGCGUUCCCUAUACCAGCGGCCUCACGGACUAGAAAACAGGGCAAAUUUGUAAUUUCAUGUU
rnacentral:misc_RNA from 1 species